rnacentral:rRNA from 1 species
GUUUGAUCCUGGCUCAGAACGAACGCUGGCGGCAGGCCUAACACAUGCAAGUCGAACGAGACCUUCGGGUCUAGUGGCGCACGGGUGCGUAACGCGUGGGAAUCUACCCUUAGGUGCGGAAUAACUCAGAGAAAUUUGAGCUAAUGCCGCAUAAUGACUCCGGUCCAAAGAUUUAUCGCCUAAGGAUGAGCCCGCGUAAGAUUAGCUAGUUGGUGAGGUAAAAGCUCACCAAGGCGACGAUCUUUAGCUGGUCUGAGAGGACGACCAGCCACACUGGGACUGAGACACGGCCCAGACUCCUACGGGAGGCAGCAGUGGGGAAUAUUGGACAAUGGGCGCAAGCCUGAUCCAGCCAUGCCGCGUGAGUGAUGAAGGCCUUAGGGUUGUAAAGCUCUUUUACCAGGGAUGAUAAUGACAGUACCUGGAGAAUAAGCUCCGGCUAACUCCGUGCCAGCAGCCGCGGUAAUAAGGGCGAAUU